rnacentral:rRNA from 1 species
GUGGGGAAUAUUGGACAAUGGGCGAAAGCCUGAUCCAGCCAUGCCGCGUGUGUGAAGAAGGUCUUCGGAUUGUAAAGCACUUUAAGUUGGGAGGAAGGGCAGUAAGUUAAUACCUUGCUGUUUUGACGUUACCGACAGAAUAAGCACCGGCUAACUUCGUGCCAGCAGCCGCGGUAAUACGAAGGGUGCAAGCGUUAAUCGGAAUUACUGGGCGUAAAGCGCGCGUAGGUGGUUUUGUAAGUUGGAGGUGAAAUCCCCGGGCUCAACCUGGGAACUGCCUCCAAAACUGCAUGACUAGAGUACGGUAGAGGGUAGUGGAAUUUCCUGUGUAGUGGUGAAAUGCGUAGAUAUAGGAAGGAACACCAGUGGCGAAGGCGACUACCUGGACUGAUACUGACACUGAGGUGCGAAAGCGUGGGGAGCAAACAGGAUUAGAAACCCUAGUAGUCC